AUUGAACGCUGGCGGCAGGCCUAACACAUGCAAGUCGAGCGGAUGAAGGGAGCUUGCUCCUGGAUUCAGCGGCGGACGGGUGAGUAAUGCCUAGGAAUCUGCCUGGUAGUGGGGGAUAACGUCCGGAAACGGGCGCUAAUACCGCAUACGUCCUGAGGGAGAAAGUGGGGGAUCUUCGGACCUCACGCUAUCAGAUGAGCCUAGGUCGGAUUAGCUAGUUGGUGGGGUAAAGGCCUACCAAGGCGACGAUCCGUAACUGGUCUGAGAGGAUGAUCAGUCACCCGGGAACUGAGACACGGUCCAGACUCCUACGGGAGGCAGCAGUGGGGAAUAUUGGACAAUGGGCGAAAGCCUGAUCCAGCCAUGCCGCGUGUGUGAAGAAGGUCUUCGGAUUGUAAAGCACUUUAAGUUGGGAGGAAGGGCAGUAAGUUAAUACCUUGCUGUUUUGACGUUACCAACAGAAUAAGCACCGGCUAACUUCGUG
rnacentral:rRNA from 1 species